rnacentral:snRNA from 1 species
GGAUGUGAGGGUGAUCUGGCUGCGACAUCUGUCACCCCAUUUAUCACCAGCGUUGAUUUGGCUGAUCUGGCUGGCGAGGCGGGUGUCCCUUUCCUCCCUCACCACUCCAUGUGCGUCCCUCCCGAAGCUGCGCGCCUUUCCCGAAUAGAGAUGGACUGGUCGAGGGUAUAUGAGUAGCUGCGUUCCCCUGCUAGAACCUCCAAACAAGCUCUCAAGAUAAUGUAAGAUAUUACAAAGUAUUUAGAAAAUGGAGCUUAGAAAGAAGCUUUUUGGGAGUUGGGCGGUAGCACAGUG